UACGAAGGGGGCUAGCGUUGCUCGGAAUUACUGGGCGUAAAGGGCGCGUAGGCGGACAACUUAGUCAGAGGUGAAAGCCCAGGGCUCAACCUUGGAAUUGCCUUUGAUACUGGUUGUCUUGAGUUCGGGAGAGGUGAGUGGAAUGCCGAGUGUAGAGGUGAAAUUCGUAGAUAUUAGGAAGAACACCAGUGGCGAAGGCGGCUCACUGGCCCGGUACUGACGCUGAGGCGCGAAAGCGUGGGUAGCAAACAGG
rnacentral:rRNA from 1 species